AAGCAGAGAUUUUUAAAAAAUGUCUGCUAAUCUAUUGAUAUUUGCAUUGGUUUUAAGAUUAAUUGAUAUUUUCGCAGUUGAUUUAGCAUAUUCAGGCUAGUUUGCUUUAUCAAUCUUGAAUUUUAGUGAAGGAGCAGGGUAAUCUAUUUUUCCAUUUAAAAUUGGAAAGUGAUUGCUGUUGUGCAGAUCAAUUUAAGUUUUCCAAUUCAUUUUUGGGUAUAAGUCAGGGGAACAACAAGUAACGUCUAUGUGUGUUAGCGUUAUGUGUGUAGAGAAAUGCUUUGGUUAACCAUCGUUGAAAGGACGUUUGAAUUAGUUUUAAGAAUGGAUCCUCUUUUAUUUGUGCUAGGUGAACCUAAAAGUAUGCUCCAGGCAUUAACAUCUCCAAUUAAUAUUGCCCCUUGAACUUGUGUAAGAAUGUUUUCCAAAUAAUGGCAUUCAUAGUUUGAUCUGGUGGAAAUACAAAUUGAUGCAUGUAAUUUUGAAUUUUAGAUGAAUUUCAAGUGCUAACACUAAGAGGUUCGCGUUAAUUGGCGUUUUUCUUUUUUGGCUCUUAGAAAAUGUAUUUAUUUGUUAAUAAACAAACAAAAACUAAAAAACAAACAUUAUUUGUUUAGAAAAAUUAAUUUGUUGUUUUCUUGAAAUAAACGGGCGACUGUCUGAAGAUUCCAGUUUUUAAUUUUGGUUUUUUUUUAUCAGAAAAGUAAGUAAAGUUGGCCUCGCUCAGCUAUUCGCUCGAUUUGCUCGGUCAAAAUAUCUUGAGCAAAUUCAUGAAGCUCUGAGCUCAGCCGAUGGAAAAUUUCUCAGAGGCAAAAAAGAAAAACACCAAAUGUGAACCUGUCGAUGUGGUAUAUUUUUCUUGAUCAUAAUACCAAUAACUUGCUUCGUCGUAGUAACACGAAAGCGUUAAUCCUUUCUUUGGGAUUAUCGGUUGAAAAUUGAAGGGAAAGUGGGUUUCUUGCAAAUUAACUAUUGAUGGAUUGUAUCUGAAAAUCAAAAUAUUAACUUCGUCGCAAUUAUUUGUAUAGCUUUGCAUAUUCCAUUGCAAAGUUACGAAAACUAUAUUUUUUUAAUUAGAAUUCCACGAUCUUCCAUUGGGUGGGACCAAAGGAAGCGUUGUGUAUAAUUGUGGUGCAGAAAUAUUCAGCCCUAUUCUGCUAUUCGAUUCACGUGAAUCGAAGAAUUCCCUUUCUUAAUCAUGUCAAAAUGGCUUUGAAAAACUUCUAAUUUUUGAUAGCAAAGUGUUGUUCUCGUCUGUUUUAGAAAUUCUAAAGAAAAAAUAUUUGUCUAAAUUUAAUUUUAACCACAUUUUAAACGCUUCUUAUUUUAGACUUUCACGUGAAUCGAAUAGCAGAAUAGGGCUGAUUGUUAGGAGUAGAAUUGGCGUUUGAUAAAAUUGUGGUGUUCAGAAUACGGCUCCGCUGCAUAGACCGUCCGAGCUCCGAGAGGCCGUUGUUUUUGAGGUUAUUAUUGUUAUCACCUUCCAUGGUAACAAAGCAGUUGUUCUAAUCGAUAAAAGCUUGAGUAGUUCAAGCUAACGGAUAUAGUGAGUUAGCAGUAGGCAGUGUUGGCAAAAAAGUAAACUGAUUAAUGAUUACUGAUUACAAAAUUUAAUCUGGAUUACAGAUUACAUUUUUUAAUCAGUAAUCGAUUACUGAUUACUGUAAUCAGUAAUCAAUUUACAUUUUUUUUUAUUACAUUUACUUUUUUUAUAAUAUUUUGCGGAACCAUAAAAUAAUAGAAAUAUUUAAAAAAUAUUAUUUAAAAACACACAAAAUUAACAUAAAAGUAAUUCAUAAAUAAUACAAAUUAGAACAUAAUUUUUUAUAGAUAACGAAACGAAUAAAAUUGACAAAAAUUAUAAUUGGUUGUUCCGCUAUAAGAUAAGGGGAAUUUAAAUAAAAUUUUGUUUUACAGCAGCAAUCUAUAUCAAAGUUGAUACCACUUAGCGAUGAUUUAAGAAAACAUUUACUUUCGUGCACCUUUACUCAUGUUAAUGAUAAUUUCUCUGUUAAUAAUAAUGGUAGGAACUUGGUAAAGCUCUUUAUUGUUAGAAGAAAUAUUAUUCCUUGCAGGUGCGUUUACAAAUUGUUGAUAUCUUUUAUGGUUUGCCAGAAAUACAUUUUAAAAGGCUGUUCAUUUUUUCUUUUCCAUUAUAAUUUUUUAAUUUGACGCCAAUUUUCUUCGAGAAAUGUGUGAUUAACAUAGUGUUUUAUUAAUCUAUCCUUACGAGGAAAAUAAUAAUAAACAAAAAAGUAGUUAACAAGUUUUCCAGAAAACUCAUACAUUUUAAGAUACUUGGAAAAUCUCCACCAGUUGAAAUCUUAAAAAGAUGUGUUUUUGGUUUUAGUCUUAAAGCCAAGAAUAAAAUAUUUAUUAUUUUUUUCUUUAAGAUAAUAUUAAUUUUAAAUGCAGUUACAAGGUCCCCUCCUUGAUUUUGUAUGCAGGUUAGAUCCCUUCUUUUUGGAUUUUUAAUUUUAAUAGCGAAUAUUGAUUGAUGGAGGUGUUGCAAAAUGAUUUAUCAGAUCCAAUCUAGGAUAUUUAAUCGAUUUAACUAAAUGCAUCAUAUUAUCAGCAAGAUGGGGUUCCAGAAUAUUACAGUCAUUCAUUUAAAAAUUGAAUAAUGAAGAGUCGGUAUUCUUUGGAUAGAAAGAAAUGGACCUAUUCAAUGCAUUGCAAGAUCUACAAACCCGACCUGUAUUGACUUUUUUCUAAGGGAUAUGAAUGAAAGGCAUUGCUUAUUUCGCAUUUCUUGUAGAACAAGAAGAAUUUAUUCUCGAACCAUCAUCAAGGAGGAUGCAACAGCCAGCAGUUAGAAUCUGAACUUCAUAAUUGAAGCCAUCGGGGCCAUCCACAUUGAACUUUUUCUCAUUAGAAAAUCCACUUUGCGGUACUCAUUUUUCCAGCUUAUAG